rnacentral:rRNA from 13 species
ACAUGAGUAGCGACAAAGAGUGUGAGAGACACUCUCGCCGAAAGUCCAAGGGUUCCUGCUUAAAGCUAAUCUGAGCAGGGUAAGCCGGCCCCUAAGCCGAGGCCGAAAGGCGUAGGCGAUGGGAACCACGUUAAUAUUCGUGGGCCUGGUGGUGUGUGACGGAUCUCGUGUGUUGUACGUCCUUAUCGGAUUGGACGUGCUUCGAAGAGGUUCCAGGAAAUAGCCCCACCGUAUAGACCGUACCCGAAACCGACACAGGUGGUCAUGUAGAGUA